CGGCGGACGGGUGAGUAACGCGUGGGUAACCUGCCUCAUACAGGGGGAUAACAGUUAGAAAUGACUGCUAAUACCGCAUAAGGCCACAGGAUCGCAUGAUCCGGUGGUAAAAACUCCGGUGGUAUGAGAUGGACCCGCGUCUGAUUAGCUAGUUGGUGGGGUAACGGCCCACCAAGGCGACGAUCAGUAGCCGACCUGAGAGGGUGACCGGCCACAUUGGGACUGAGACACGGCCCAA
rnacentral:rRNA from 1 species